AACUGGUUUACACCCAGUAGGUCGCAGGUUCGAGUCCUGCGCCGUCCACCA
rnacentral:tRNA from 1 species